CAACAUUAAAUAAUUAGUUCUUAGACUGGUGUUUUUUCUUCCAGUGUGAAUCUGGCAACAUUGGCUCUGGGUUAUGUCUCCUCAUCAGUGCUGGCUGCAACCAAAUGUGAUAGCAUGAUGAUGACUCCUGGUCCGUGGCUGGGUUUGCCAGCUGUUCCUGCGGUGACACUGUAUAAACAUGAUGACCCUGCCUUGACUUCAGUUGCUGGUCUUACAUCAAAUAAGCCCGCAGACAAACUCCGUGC